UGUUACACCUACACUCCCUGCUUUUACAUUCACAUUCAAUCAGCCCAACUAUCGUCAGCCUAGUCACUGAUAACCUCCACUUAGAUGGAGAUAAAAGGACCAGACGUUGUGUGCGUGCAUUACGGUGUCUGUAACCACACCCCUUCUCCUGUUGAGGUGCUUUCCUGAUUUGCCGGCCCUGUAUUCCUAGCCUUCCCUCUGACGCUCGCCUUCGGUAUGUCCUUGUCCCUGCAUGUUCAGUGAGGAACCGUACUUCGCCGCUGACCUCGUCGUUCCUGUGAUAACCGUCUGAUAACUGUCUGAUAACUGCCUGAUCACAAAGGUGCUGCUGUUUUGUUUAAGCCUGACAAUGCGUGUGUGAUUCAGCAUGCUCGUGACUCUGCCAAACUGUUGUUGUGCAUGCUGGUCUGACAUAUAUCUGAGCUGGGUUUUCGUUUUCUUUGUUAUGUUCUUUUUGUCUGAGCAUUGUACCAUCUUGUCCACUCCAAUGGAGUAAUGCUUCUGUCUAGUGUGUGUUCUGUCUGCAUGUGACUGGGCAUAAGGCUGGUGGCGCUGUAGCUGUCCUGGUGCAUGCUUGUUGUUUGUUCUGGUCUGUAGUUAGCCUCGAUACAUGAUUGCUAUUACUGUCUGAGUGUUUCAUGCUUAGGAUGGACUGUUGAUAUCCCCUGGUGCAAUAAUUGUUUUCAUUUUAUUUGUUAAGCAGUUGCUAGGUGCUUCCAGAGGGAGGCUAGGCACCUGGUGGUGGGCCCCUGUCACUGCAUGCGGGUGUAUCAAGCUGGUUAGUGUGCUGUGGGUGUGCCGUGAUUGUGCUGUGUGUGCAGUGUGCUGUGGGUUGCUUGCCGUGUCAUAGUUCACCUUAUAACCACUUCUUUGAGUGUGUGUGCACGUGUGAGCGGUGUGGAUCCAAGAGCACGCCGUCUGCUAGUCUGCCUCCCUCAGGUAAGUCCUACUUAGCACUGCCUAGACUCUAGUCUACUAGUUUCCCUGUUUUAGCCUUACUGACAUAAAUGAUAUUCAAUAAAUAUAUUUUUGUAUCUUGCUAACUUGUCAGUCUCGUUGCAGGUUAUUUCAUGAUCCACCUCUUCACUCCCACUCUCCCUUCCCUCAGUUGUUAAUAAACAUUCUUGAACUGGAAUCCCGUCUGUCGCCUCGUGCAUUUCGAACCUGUUUUUGCCUUGGUGUAUAAACUGAAAUUACUAGUAUAAUAAACCGCAUACUGACAAUUACUUUGAAGUAUUCCCUGGGGCUUACUGGUGUAAGUUUUCCCUGGGGUGGCGUAGUCGGACUAUAAUUUGGGGUAUAACCAUCUUCCCCUCUACUGCCCUCACUACACAUACAUAGGCUUCAGUCCAAUUGCCGGUCACAUGCAAGCUUCAUCUUAAAGAGCAACAAGAUCUCUUCUCAUGGUGGGGUUUAAUCUCUGGCAGUCUCAGUAAAUACAACAUCAAUAACCAACUGAACAAAUGGCCAUUAUGUCCAAUAUCUAACAGUACACAUAUGAUUUAGAAUUGGUACAACCUAUAACCUAAAUAACACAUAAUACAUUUCAAGGCUGUCAAGCUCUCCAAAUUCUAUCCAUAUAGUAUUAUCUUAUUUUAUCCAUACAUUAUCUGUUAUCAUAGGUAUACAUGGGAUACACAUCAUUUUACAAAAAAAAAGGAAAUACAUAAAACCCUACCACUCCUAAUAACUAGGUUUUAUUAUUAUUUUGUAAUUAUUAACUACUUAC